GUCAGGUGUAGUAAAAAUACCUAAGACAAAGAACUACUUUUUCUUUUAUUUUAUCCUAUUGUAUAGCGCUGCAGAAUUUGUUGGCGCUUUAUAAACAAUAAUAAAUUAUUAAGAGAAAUAGAUCAGAAAUGAAGAAAAGAAGAACAGAUCUUAGCUCCAGUAAUCCCCUCCAUUCCUUGUUACCCCCUCUUUAUCUCCUCGUUCUAUCCUGAUUGUCUUUUAUCUCACAGUUUUCUUCUCCAUUCAUUCCUUUCCCUCUCUCCUAUCAUUGUGUUUCGCUGGAGCAGGGAUGGGUAACCUCUGUCUACCCAGGAGCUGUCACAAUCCUCAGCCAGCAAGAUUUUACUUGACCAUAAUAUGAGCAGUGACAGCACUCUCGUAAUUGCAGCAAGAUUGCAUCAAUCAUAAAAGCAGGUGUCAGUUUUCUGUGGAUUUUGACUCCCAUGAUGCUUGGCCAACCAAGUAGCUGGCUUGUCACGGUGUAAGAUUCACGUCUCUGCGCUGUUCCCUGUCAUGUGAUCCGUGUGUGUAAACGUGCUGCAACCUGGGAAAUUGUGGAAUUUUAUCAAAACCAGAUUUUGGUUCCUCCAUUUGAAUAAAUGAUUAAUAUCGUCAUUGAGUAUUUCUUAACCCCUUCAUGGCAUACGAUGUGCCAGAAUUGUCG